CCUACGGGGGGCAGCAGUGAGGAAUAUUGGUCAAUGGACGGAAGUCUGAACCAGCCAUGCCGCGUGCAGGAAGACGGCUCUAUGAGUUGUAAACUGCUUUUGUAAAAGGGUAAACCUGAAUACGUGUAUUCUGCUGAAAGUACUGUACGAAUAAGGAUCGGCUAACUCCGUGCCAGCAGCCGCGGUAAUACGGAGGAUCCAAGCGUUAUCCGGAUUUAUUGGGUUUAAAGGGUGCGUAGGCGGAUUGAUAAGUUAGAGGUGAAAUGUGCGAGCUUAACUCGGGAACUGCCUCUAAUACUGUUGAUCUAGAGAGUAGAUGCGGUAGGCGGAAUGUAUGGUGUAGCGGUGAAAUGCUUAGAGAUCAUACAGAACACCGAUUGCGAAGGCAGCUUACCAAUCUAUAUCUGACGUUGAGGCACGAAAGCGUGGGGAGCAAACAGGAUUAGAUACCCCAGUAGUC
rnacentral:rRNA from 1 species